AGCGAACGCUGGCGGCAGGCCUAACACAUGCAAGUCGAACGGCAGCACAGUAAGAGCUUGCUGUUACGGGUGGCCAGCGGGGGACGGGUCAGGUAUACAUCGGAAUCUUCUGUUUCGUGGGGGCUAACGUAGGGUAACCUACGCUAAUACCGGAUACGACCCACGGGUGAAAGCAGGGGAUCUUCUGACCUGGCGCGAUUGAAUGAGCCGGUGUCGGAUUAGCUAGUUGGCGGGGUAAAGGCCCACCAAGGCGGCGAUCCGUAGCUGGUCUGAGAGGAUGAUCCGCCACCCGGGAGGUGAGACAGGGUCCAGACUCCUGCGGUAGGCAGCAGUCGGGAAUAUUGGGCAAUGGGCGCGAGCCUAAUCCAGCCAUACCGCGUAAGUGAAGACGGCCCUCGGGUUGGAAAGCCCUUUUGUUGGGAGGGAAAAGCAGCAGGUUAAUACCCCGCGGUAGUGACGGUACCCAGAGAAGAAGCACCGGCUAACUUCGUG
rnacentral:rRNA from 1 species